UUUUGUAUAAUGGGUCAGCGACUUAUAUUCUGUAGCAAGGUUAACCGAAUAGGGGAGCCGAAGGGAAACCGAGUCUUAACUGGGCGUUAAGUUGCAGGGUAUAGACCCGAAACCCGGUGAUCUAGCCAUGGGCAGGUUGAAGGUUGGGUAACACUAACUGGAGGACCGAACCGACUAAUGUUGAAAAAUUAGCGGAUGACUUGUGGCUGGGGGUGAAAGGCCAAUCAAACCGGGAGAUAGCUGGUUCUCCCCGAAAGCUAUUUAGGUAGCGCCUCGUGAAUUCAUCUCCGGGGGUAGAGCACUGUUUCGGCAAGGGGGUCAUCCCGACUUACCAACCCGAUGCAAACUGCGAAUACCGGAGAAUGUUAUCACGGGAGACACACGGCGGGUGCUAACGUCCGUCGUGAAGAGGGAAACAACCCAGACCGCCAGCUAAGGUCCCAAAGUCAUGGUUAAGUGGGAAACGAUGUGGGAAGGCCCAGACAGCCAGGAUGUUGGCUUAGAAGCAGCCAUCAUUUAAAGAAAGCGUAAUAGCUCACUGGUCGAGUCGGCCUGCGCGGAAGAUGUAACGGGGCUAAACCAUGCACCGAAGCUGCGGCAGCGACACUAUGUGUUGUUGGGUAGGGGAGCGU
rnacentral:rRNA from 1 species